rnacentral:rRNA from 1 species
UGGGGAAUUUUGGACAAUGGGGGAAACCCUGAUCCAGCCAUCCCGCGUGUGCGAUGAAGGCCUUCGGGUUGUAAAGCACUUUUGGCAGGAAAGAAACGUCGCGGGUUAAUACCCCGCGGAACUGACGGUACCUGCAGAAUAAGCACCGGCUAACUACGUGCCAGCAGCCGCGGUAAUACGUAGGGUGCAAGCGUUAAUCGGAAUUACUGGGCGUAAAGCGUGCGCAGGCGGUUCGGAAAGAAAGAUGUGAAAUCCCAGAGCUUAACUUUGGAACUGCAUUUUUAAACUACCGGGCUAGAGUGUGUCAGAGGGAGGUGGAAUUCCGCGUGUAGCAGUGAAAUGCGUAGAUAUGCGGAGGAACACCGAUGGCGAAGGCAGCCUCCUGGGAUAACACUGACGCUCAUGCACGAAAGCGUGGGGAGCAAACAGGAUUAGAUACCCUGGUAGUCCACGCCCUAAACGAUGUCAACUAGCUGUUGGGGUCUUCGGACCUUGGUAGCGCAGCUAACGCGUGAAGUUACCGCCUGGGGAGUACGGUCGCAAGAUUAAAACUCAAAUGAAUUGACGGGGUCAUAGCUG